AGUGAAUGAGGAAGCAGAGAGACAGGGUGCAGCGGACAGCAUAGAGGUCAAGUGAAUGAGGAAGCAGAGAGACAGGGUGCAGCGGACAGCAUAGAGGUCAAGUGAAUGAGGAAGCAGAGAGACAGGGUGCAGCGGACAGCAUAGAGGUCAAGUGAAUGAGGAAGCAGAGAGACAGGGUGCAGCGGACAGCAUAGAGGUCAAGUGAAUGAGGAAGCAGAGAGACAGGGUGCAGCGGACAGCAUAGAGGUCAAGUGAAUGAGGAAGCAG